rnacentral:lncRNA from 1 species
AUUAUGACCGCCGUCGUCAUAGUGGGCCUGGCCUUUUUCAUCUUCUGGCUCAUAGUCCGCCCCAACCACAUCAAGUUCCACGUCACCGAAGCCCACCUCACCCAAUUCAACUUCUCCAAUGACAGCACCCUCCACUACAACCUCGCCCUCAACCUCACCAUCCGCAACCCCAACAAGAAGAUCGGGGUCUACUACGACCGCAUCGAGGCCAGGGCCAUCUACGAGGACCAGAGGUUCAGCACGUACACCUCGACGACGCCCUUUUACCAAGGGCACAAGACAACGAACGUGGUGAACCCGGUGUUCCAGGGCCAGCAGGUGAUCCCAGACACGAAAGUGCUCUCCGAGUACAAUGAGCAGAAGAAUAGUGGGGUUUACG